rnacentral:piRNA from 1 species
UUGGGUGUGGCUGCACUGUCUGAAUAG